CACCCCUGGCAGUGGGCAAAGAGACAGCUUGUUGGUGGUGGUGUUCUUGUAUCAGCCAGUGGCAGAGCAGAUGGCAGUCCUCUGUUCAUCCUAGCCUGAUGCCUGGCUUAGUGGCCAAAGAUGUCUUAUACCUAGGAUUCAUAA
rnacentral:snoRNA from 1 species